GUACAGAGUCAAUGUGGAGGUUAUAUACAGGGGGUACCAGUACAGAGUCAAUGUGGAGGUUAUAUACAGGGGGUACCAGUACAGAGUCAAUGUGGAGGUUAUAUACAGGGGGUACCAGUACAGAGUCAAUGUGGAGGUUAUAUACAGGGGGUACCAGUACAGAGUCAAUGUGGAGGUUAUAUACAGGGGGUACCAGUACAGAGUCAAUGUGGAGGUUAUAUACAGGGGGUACCAGUACAGAGUCAAUGUGGAGGCUAUAUACAGGGGGUACCAGUACAGAGUCAAUGUGGAGGUUAUAUACAGGGGGUACCAGUACAGAGUCAAUGUGGAGGUUAUAUACAGGGGGUACCAGUACAGAGUCAAUGUGGAGGUUAUAUACAGGGGGUACCAGUACAGAGUCAAUGUGGAGGCUAUAUACAGGGGGUACCAGUACAGAGUCAAUGUGGAGGUUAUAUACAGGGGGUACCAGUACAGAGUCAAUGUGGAGGUUAUAUACAGGGGGUACCAGUACAGAGUCAAUGUGGAGGCUAUAUACAGGGGGUACCAGUACAGAGUCAAUGUGGAGGUUAUAUACAGGGGGUACCAGUACAGAGUCAAUGUGGAGGCUAUAUACAG